CGCGAGUCGGACGGGAGCAGGCGAUGAGGACCAGCGAUGAGAUGCGCAACGGCGAUAUGCAACAACCGAUGUUGGCCGAUAAUGGCGUCGUUUGGUACAUUGCGAGAGCGAUUAGCUUCGGGAAUGCUAGCGUUCGAAUGAGAGAAGAAGAAGACGGAGCGGUUCUUCCUCUGACCUUGCGACAGUGUUGAGCGGCGGGGGACUUAAAGUGCGAUAGCAGUACCGUAAUCCUGACCAAUCAGCGAACAAACAGACGCGGCGGGAAUAAAGGAAAACGAGAUGGAAGAUGCUGAUUGCGCGCCCAUCAUUUAAUCAGUAAGUGACACGCGCGUAACGGGUUAACCCGACACGCGUAAAUAGCUGCCUGUUGCUAUGGAUGAGGAGGGGAUGGUGGGUCGUUGCUAGCCGGGUUGGUGCACCCCGGUGCAAGCUGUAUCGAUCCGACAUGGACUACCCGGUGCAACAACCCACGCAUACUGACCCCACGCGUCCUUGUAGCUCGCGGAAGGCACUUCGUGUAUCUUGAGACUCGUUUUACGAAGCGUUACCGUCGAGAUACAAUUGUAUCUCGGUAGAUAUUAUCACACUCAUUACUCGGCUAUAACAUCGCCGAGUAUCGCUAGUUGUAUAUAUCUCUCACAGCAAUCACAGCAUCAAUCACAGUAAUUCGCACGAUGAUUAAUUGAGAAGAGCCACUUUCGAAGAGUCGGUUUCGUUCGUUCGCGUCAUUCAUUUAUCGCUUUCAUCAUUAUCACAGACCAACUAAAUAAUGCGACAAAAGAUGUCAACGUUAACGCAGCGGUGAUUGUGUGCGAUCUCUCUCUCUCUCUCUCUGUGUCGCUCCUGUGUCAUCCUCGCUUUAAUUUCGUCCUUGACUGCUCCACCAGUCAUAGGAUUUCGUUAAUAGGUAUAUAGCAGAGUCGAAAUUUUGUGAUUUCACAUUAAUCAUAUAUUCAUAAUUCUGCAUAUUCGGGACUUGACACAGAUUUAUUUCAAAAUUAUUUAAUAUUUAAUUAUCUCGGUAUCGUCUAAUCUUUUCUCCAUGACUUUAAUCAAUAAUGUGUAAAUUACUCAUUUACACAGAUAAAAUGAGACAAGCAGAUGUUAAAUAGUCUAAUAAACAUUUGGAAAGGUAAAUAAAUAAAUAAAUAGGCGAAUGAAUGGGUAGAGGAAUUUGUUUCUUUUUUUAUUUUCCUUUUUUUUUCUUUCUCUUGU